AUGCACAAUGCUCUACCGCAUGCAGAGUUCACUACACUCGUAGUUACACUAUGGGCAUUGUGGGCUACUCGACGAAAAGCGAUCCAUGAGCACAUUUACCAGAGCCCUUUUUCAGUCCAUGCUUUUGUCCAGUCUUAUAUCAAUGAGCUCAAGGUUGUUCAGGCAGGCACGACGAGUCAACCUGGCGCUCCUAGGCAGCGACCAACGGGCUGGAUCGCUCCACCAGCGGGGCUGACAAAAAUAAACGUUGAUGCUGCAGUGGGGAGGGAAAGGAAACAUGGAGCUGUUGCGGCAAUAUCAAGAGAUAGCACCUGCCAGUUUUUGGGGGCAUCGGCUAUGGUUUUCGGAGGCAUAUCCGAUCCAGCGAUACUCGAAUGCUUGGCGCUCAGGGAGGCACUAGCCCUCGCUGAUGAUCUGAAUGUGACAGACAUCAAAGUGGCAUUGGACUCGAAGGUGGUGGUAGACGACAUUCGAGAGAAGAACCCAACGGAGUAUGGAGCGGUGAUACAUGAAAUAAUAGAGCAUAGUUUAUCUUUCCACUUUUGUAAUUUUUGUCAUGAAUUUAGGAGCUCAAAUACCGAGGCUCACAAGCUCGCGAGGCACGCUUUAUCCCUUCCGGUAGGCUGA
rnacentral:rRNA from 1 species